GAUGAACGCUGGCGGCGUGCUUAACACAUGCAAGUCGAACGGAAAGGCCCAAGCUUGCUUGGGUACUCGAGUGGCGAACGGGUGAGUAACACGUGGGUGAUCUGCCCUGCACUUCGGGAUAAGCCUGGGAAACUGGGGCUAAUACCGGAUAGGACCACAUUUUGGAUGGUGUGGUGGAAAGUUUUUCGGUGUGGGAUGAGCUCGCGGCCUAUCAGCUUGUUGGUGGGGUAAUGGCCUACCAAGGCGUCGACGGGUAGCCGGCCUGAGAGGGUGUACGGCCACAUUUGGACUGAGAUACGGCCCAGACUCCUACGGGAGGCAGCAGUGGGGAAUAUUGCACAAUGGGCGCAAGCCUGAUGCAGCGACGCCGCGUGGGGGAUGACGGCCUUCGGGUUGUAAACUCCUUUCGCUAGGGACGAAGCGUUUUUGUGACGGUACCUGGAGAAGAAGCACCGGCUAACUACGUG
rnacentral:rRNA from 1 species